CGUAACUUCGGGAUAAGGAUUGGCUCUGAAGAUUGAGAUAGUCGGGCUUGAUUGGGAAACAAUAACAUGGUUUAUGUGCUCGUUCUGGGUAAAUAGAGUUUCUAGCAUUUAUGUUAGUUACUUGUUCCCCGGAUAGUUUAGUUACGUAGCCAAUUGUGGAACUUUCUUGCUAAAAUUUUUAAGAAUACUAUUUGGGUUAAACCAAUUAGUUCUUAUCAAUUAUAACGAUUAUCAAUUAACAAUCAAUUCAGAACUGGCACGGACUUGGGGAAUCCGACUGUCUAAUUAAAACAAAGCAUUGUGAUGGCCCUAGCGGGUGUUGACACAAUGUGAUUUCUGCCCAGUGCUCUGAAUGUCAAAGUGAAGAAAUUCAAGUAAGCGCGGGUCAACGGCGGCCUAAUCAACCCACGCGUUUACUAACAGGAAAGGAAUAUAUAGACGGUAUUCGUCUG
rnacentral:ncRNA from 1 species